CAAUAGCGUAUAUUAAAGUUGUUGCAGUUAAAAAGCUCGUAGUUGGAUUUGUGGCGUACGGUGUGUUCCGGGUACUUGUUGUCUGAGUAACCUGCUGUUGCCAUCCUUGGGUGGAACCUGUGUGGCAUUAGGUUGUCGUGCAGGGGAUGCCCAUCAUUUACUGUGAAAAAAUUAGAGUGUUCAAAGCAGGCUUAUGCCGUUGAAUAUAUUAGCAUGGAAUAAUGAGAUAGGACUUUUUUGCUAUUUUGUUGGUUUGCGCAAAGAGGUAAUGAUUAAUAGGGACAGUUGGGGGUAUUCGUAUUCCAUUGUCAGAGGUGAAAUUCUUGGAUUUUUGGAAGACGAACUACUGCGAAAGCAUUUACCAAGGAUGUUUUCAUUAA
rnacentral:rRNA from 1 species